rnacentral:lncRNA from 1 species
GGCAUUUCCCCUGCUGGGACUCAUCCUUUCUCCUGCCGCCCUGUAAAGAAGUGUCUUCCACCAUGAUUGUAAGCUUCCUGAGGCCUCCCCAGCAUGCAGAACUCCCCUGGCAACUACCAUUCUAAGUAUCAUUUAUGUGAGUUUGACUACUCCAGAUACCUCAGGCAGGCAACUGCACCCCUGCUUCCUGAGCCACCUGGGACUUGAAGUUCUACCACUGUGGCUCCAAAGCUGCCCAACUAGAAACCCCAAAAGGCAAGAGAACUACGAUACCCACAAUUCAGGCUCCUCACCCGAAACCAGAAGAGGGCGUAUGGCUAGAGUUUCACCCUAAGAAGAAAGGGGAAGCAGGUGGAAAAGCAAUUAAAAAAAAAUCAGCAUCUCUCUCUAGCCUAUUAUCUCCUGUUAGACACAGCCCAGAAAAUGAAUAGAGACAAGUCCUGGCUGGGUCUGGGUUCAGAAACAUAAUAGAAGGAUUCAUCUAAUGGAAGGGAAUUCUUUCCACAGUUGCUAGUUCCUCACACCUCUGCCUCUAUGGGAUUCUCCUGGUCCCCACAUGCUCUGCUGUGUCUUCUAGCUGUCGGCCACUGUGGAGGAAGUGAACCUUCUAGAUCCUGCUGACUCAUACAAUGAGUUUUGUGUGGACCAUCAGACAAAAGGGCUGGCUGGUGAAGGUGGCUGUUGUCUGGAAAUUCCUCCCAGCUCUCCUCUAAUUAUGUCAUAAGGACUGGAGGCCCCUUAGCCUGCUUGUGAUAACACGCAAGGAAAUAUGGGCCAACUCUUCACAUGAACACAAGAUAUUUCCAUGCUAGCCUUUUGCAAGUAACAACAGAGAGAGCUCUGUGCAGUUUUCACUGGAAUGCCUGUGGAUUGCUUGUGUCAUAACUGUAAUCUAAAGAGUUGUCCAUUUGUUGAUUCCUUUGUAUUUGUAUUGGUAGAAUUGCCACUAUCAAACCAAGAUCUUUAGCUGCCUUUGUAUCAACUUCUUUGGAGCUUAUGUGAUUUUCCAGAAAAUUUCCAAGGCAUAGUUUUGUCCCUAAGUCCCAUGAAUAUGUAAUAUUUUGUGUCUCUCUAUUAAAAUAGCACUUUUUGUGCAUUCCAUUAACAAA